rnacentral:rRNA from 1 species
UGGGGAAUCUUGCGCAAUGGGCGAAAGCCUGACGCAGCGACGCCGCGUGUGCGAUGAAGGUCUUCGGAUCGUAAAGCACUGUCGCCGGGGAAAAAAGCCAGCGUAAGCUGGUGUGAUGGUACCCGGAGAGGAAGCACCGGCUAACUCUGUGCCAGCAGCCGCGGUAAUACAGAGGGUGCGAGCGUUGUUCGGAAUUAUUGGGCGUAAAGCGCAUGUAGGCGGUGAACUAAGUCGCGUGUGAAAGCCCCAGGCUCAACCUGGGAAGUGCGCGCGAAACUGGUUUACUUGAGUGCUGGAGAGGGUGGCGGAAUUCCCGGUGUAGAGGUGAAAUUCGUAGAUAUCGGGAGGAACACCAGAGGCGAAGGCGGCCACCUGGACAGACACUGACGCUGAGACGCGAAAGCGUGGGGAGCAAACAGG